rnacentral:lncRNA from 1 species
CUGCCCUGCGCUGUCCCCUCGCCUCUUCGCCCCUUGACAAAGAGGACAGAAAGUUUGCGCGGGGGAGCGGGCCAGGUGAGGAGGGGCGUGCCCGGCGCCCCAGCCCGCGCCCCAGCAGCCGGACCCAGGCCCCUAGCGCGCCCGCCAUGGGCGCCGCGGCCCGCAGCCUCCGGCUGGCGCUCGGCCUCCUGCUGCUGGCCACGCUGCUGCGCCCGGCCGACGCCUGCAGCUGCUCCCCGGUGCACCCGCAACAGGCGUUUUGCAAUGCAGACGUAGGUAAGCAGCCGGGUUCGCGCGGCCCACCUCCCUGCCCGUGCAGCCCGCUGGGGCUCCCUCUGCCAUCCUGAAACUGAACGCCCCAAGCACACUUUUUCCCUCUCCCGUACCCCCGCCCUCCCCCGUUCCUCUCUUUUCUUUCCCUUCUGAGCUGGAAGAUGCUUGGCGACCUCAAAAUUCCACCGAAAUUCCGCAGCAGCUCCGGCCCCAGGAAAGGGAGCCAGGGAACGCUUGGGUGUUGGCAGGCCGCCUCCCUGGGAUGCCAGCGCUGGGGGUGGGGGAGUGGGGGAC